rnacentral:rRNA from 1 species
UACAGAGGUCCCGAGCGUUGUUCGGAUUCACUGGGCGUAAAGGGUGCGCAGGUGGGUUGGCAAGUUCGAUGUGAAAGCCCCAGGCUUAACCCGGGAAUGGCAUUGGAAACUGCUGAUCUGGAGGAUCGGAGGGGGGACUGGAAUUCUUGGUGUAGCAGUGAAAUGCGUAGAUAUCAGGAGGAACACCGAUGGCGAAGGCAGGUCUCUGGGCUGACACUGACGCUCAUGCACGAAAGCGUGGGGAGCAAACAGG